GACGAACGCUGGCGGCGUGCUUAACACAUGCAAGUCGAGCGGUCAGGCCUCUUCGGGGGUCCACGAGCGGUGAACGGGUGCGUAACACGUGGGUGACCUGCCCUCAGCUCUGGGAUAAGCCUGGGUAACUGGGACUAAUACCGGUAACGACCUUUCUUUGCAUGGGGUUUGGUGGAUAGUUUUUUCGGCUGGGGAUGGGCCUGCUGCCUAUCAGCUCGUUGAUUUGGCGAUGGCCUACCAAGGCGGCGACCGGUAGCCGGGCUGCGAGGGCGACCGGCCACCCUGGAAGUGAGACACGGGUCGGGAAUCUUCGGGAGGGAGCAGAGGGGAAUCUUACGAAAUCGGCGGAAGCCUGGAGCAGCGACGGAGCGUGAGGGAUGGCGGCCAUGGAGUUGUAAACCUCUUUGGACCCCGGCGAAUUUGGACGGUAGCGGUAGAAGAAGCACCGGCCAACUACGUG
rnacentral:rRNA from 1 species